CCUACGGGGGGCAGCAGUGAGGAAUAUUGGUCAAUGGGCGCGAGCCUGAACCAGCCAAGUCGCGUGAAGGAUGACUGCCCUACGGGUUGUAAACCUCUUUUAUAGAGGAGUAAAGUGCGGCACGUGUGCCUUUUUGUAUGUACUUUAUGAAAAAGGAUCGGCUAACUCCGUGCCAGCAGCCGCGGUAAUACGGAGGAUCCGAGCGUUAUCCGGAUUUAUUGGGUUUAAAGGGAGCGUAGGUGGGUUGUUAAGUCAGUGGUGAAAGUUAGCGGCUCAAC
rnacentral:rRNA from 1 species